rnacentral:lncRNA from 1 species
CCAUUUUCAGACCUUCCUCGAGGACAAAAGAAAAUGUCAGGCUACCCACACCCUCCUUCCGGCUACGGCUACGGCAGCGCUCCACCACCAGGCCAACCUUACGGCGCGCCGCCUCAAGGCCAGCCCUACGGUGCGCCGCCCCAAGGUCAACCCUACGGCGCAACGCCGCAAGGGCAGCACCAGACAGCCCAACCCUACAGUGCUCCGUCUGCACCGUACGGCGCUCCAUCCUCCGCACCGUACGGUGCUCCGGCAGCACCGUACGGCGCGCCUUACGCGCCAGAGAAGCCUUACAAUCCAGACAAGCCUCACAAGAAUCAAGGCGGAGGAGGCGGAGGCGGAGGCGGAUACCCGAAUCAAGGUGGAGGAGGCGGAGGCGGAGGCGGAUACCCGAAUCAAGGUGGAGGAGGCGGAGGCGGAUACCCGAAUCAAGGCGGAGGAGGCGGAGGCGGAUACCCGCCACCUGCUCAUGGUUACGGGAGCCCGUUUGCGGCUUUGUUGCCGUCGGUGUUCCCGCCGGGCACAGACCCGAACGUCAUAGCUUGCUUUCAGCUGGCGGAUCAGGACGGCAGCGGCUUCAUCGACGACAAGGAGAUGCAGAGAGCUCUGUCGUCGUACAAUGAAAGCUUCAGCUUGAGGACUGUUCAUCUUCUCAUGUACACCUUCACCCAGACCAAC